rnacentral:rRNA from 1 species
AAUUCGAUUGAGUUUGAUCAUGGCUCAGAAUCAACGCUGGCGGCGUGCCUCAGACAUGCAAGUCGAACGCGAAAGUCCCCUUCGGGGGGCAAGUAGAGUGGCGCACGGGUGAGUAACACGUAGGUAAUCUACCUUCGGAUGGGGAAUAACAAUCGGAAACGGUUGCUAAUACCGCAUAAUGCAGCGGCACCUAAUGGUGACAGUUGUUAAAGCGGGGGAUCGAAAGACCUCGCGUCUGAAGAGGAGCCUGCGGCGGAUUAGCUAGUUGGUAAGGUAAUGGCUUACCAAGGCUACGAUCCGUAACCGGCCUGAGAGGGCGGUCGGUCACACUGACACUGACAUACGGGUCAGACUCCUACGGGAGGCAGCAGUCGGGAAUUUUGGGCAAUGGGCGAAAGCCUGACCCAGCAACGCCGCGUGAAGGAUGAAAUCCCUCGGGAUGUAAACUUCGCAAGAACGGGAAGAAUAAGUAGGGGACAAUACCCCCUAUGAUGACGGUACCGUUUGUAAGCUCCGGCUAACUCCGUGCCAGCAGCCGCGGUAAUACGGGGGGAGCAAGCGUUGUUCGGAUUUACUGGGCGUAAAGGGCGCGUAGGCGGCCAGCACAAGUCAGUUGUGAAAUCUCCGAGCUUAACUCGGAAAGGUCAACUGAUACUGUGCGGCUAGAGUGCGGAAGGGGCAACUGGAAUUCUUGGUGUAGCGGUGAAAUGCGUAGAUAUCAAGAGGAACACCUGCGGCGAAGGCGGGUUGCUGGGCCGA